rnacentral:rRNA from 1 species
ACUGCAGGCUGCAACUCGCCUNCACGAAGUUGGAAUUGCUAGUAAUCGUGGAUCAGCAUGCCACGGUGAAUACGUUCCCGGGUCUUGUACACACCGCCCGUCACACCAUGGGAGCCGGUAAUACCCGAAGCCUGUGAGCUAACUUUUAAGAGGCAGCAGUCGAAGGUAGAAUCAAUGAUUGGGGUGAAGUCGUAACAAGGUAGC